CUCGCGAGAGUAAGCUAAUCUCUUAAAGCCGUUCUCAGUUCGGACUGUAGGCUGCAACUCGCCUACACGAAGUCGGAAUCGCUAGUAAUCGCGGAUCAGCAUGCCGCGGUGAAUACGUUCCCGGGUCUUGUACACACCGCCCGUCACACCAUGGGAGUCAGCAACGCCCGAAGCCAGUGACCCAACUGAGAAGAGGGAGCUGUCGAAGGCGGGGCCGAUAACUGGGGUGAAGUCGUAACAAGGUAGC
rnacentral:rRNA from 1 species